CUCCAGCUACCCAAUCAAGAUUAUGAUGAGUGCCCCCAUUGUUUACCGGAUGUUGCUACAGCAGGAUCUUUCCAGGUGAUGGGGCUUUGAGGAUUGGUAAGAGAGUCUGGCCCCAUCCCCCUGACUCCCUCACAUACAUUCAUGCCUAUCUAUCUGAAUCUCUCGCACACAGAGAGCCCCAUGAAGCCAUUUGCAUCAUCAAAGCACCCAGAAACUAGGUCUAGGCCUGAGUGGACUUUGGUUCCAGGAAGGCUGAGGAGAAACACUUAUUUCUCUUCUUCAGUUACAAGUUCCCCCAUCUACAGAACUGCCUCGCUGGAGGGGAGUCCCUUCUUCCAGAAACUCUGGAGAACUGGAGGGCCCAGACAGGACUGGACAUCCGAGAAUUCUAUGGCCAGACAGAAACGGUACCUGUUCCCAGGGGAACCAUGGGCUGUGUGCCCUUUUUGGGCUUCAAAAUUCUCUUUGACAAUAAAACAUGUUAGCCACCAUGUAUCAUUCAUUUAUUUGAGAAAUAUUUAUUGAGCCUCUAUGAAGGGACAGGUACUGAGUAUUGAAAAUUCAGCACAGAACAAAACAGGCAAAGUUCCUGUUUUCUGGGAGAUUACAUUCCAGUGAGAUUUGGGGAGAGAGACAAUAAACUAAGAAAUAUCUAGCAUGGCAGGUGGUGAGAAAUGCGAUGGAAAAAGUAAAGUAGAUGACAUGGGGUGAGAAGUUGGUAAAUCACAUAUGGUAGUCAGAAAGUUCCUCUGUGAUGGGGAAACAUUUUAGCAGAGACCAAAGUUUAUCAAACAUGUCAAGCACUGUACAAAGCUGCUUAGACUGAAGUGAGGAAUGGGCAGAAGGACCCACCAUGGCUUUACUGCACCUCCUGAGAUAUCUUCUUGGAACUCUUGAGGUCUCAUGUGCACAAUGUGGAUUUAUACUAUUCUAUACUAUUUUACUUAUCAAAACUACAUGGGGAAUACUUUUCCCCAACUCUUCUUCUCCUUUUUCCAGUGCCUCUUACUUGUGACUCUCAGCACUUCUUGCCUCUUCCUCUCCACUCUCUUACCCUGCAUCCUUCUUUGACUAAUGAGUACCCUUGGUAGAACUUUUGCAGAGUGUUGAUGGCAGCUCUGUGGUAUGAAAGAGCCAGGAAGAGCUCUGCAAAUAUGAAUAAGGACAAUGGAGUUGUGGCAAGCAUACCCUGGCAGGGGCCUCCCACCAUUCAGAGGAGGACAUGUUUAGAAUAUGCUUAUAAGGACACUCAGAUUCCCAUGAUCUUAAUCACUCAGCAGCCUCUCUUCUGAGGGAUUAACUUGCAUAGUUUCCAAGACAAUGAAAAUCAAACCAGGAUACAUGGGAACGGCUGCUUCCUGUUAUGAUGUACAGGUUAUAGAUGAUAAGGGCAACAUCCUGCCCCCUGGCACAGAAGGAGACAUUGGCAUCAGGGUCAAACCCAUCAGGCCUAUAGGCAUCUUCUCUGGCUAUGUGGACAAUCCUGACAAGACAGCAGCCAACAUUCGAGGAGACUUUUGGCUCCUUGGAGACCGGGGAAUCAAAGAUGAAGAUGGGUAUUUCCAGUUUAUGGGACGGGCAGAUGAUAUCAUUAACUCCAGCGGGUACCGGAUUGGACCCUCGGAGGUAGAGAAUGCACUGAUGAAGCACCCUGCUGUGGUUGAGACGGCUGUGAUCAGCAGCCCAGACCCCGUCCGAGGAGAGGUGGUGAAGGCAUUUGUGGUCCUGGCCUCGCAGUUCCUAUCCCAUGACCCAGAACAGCUCACCAAGGAGCUGCAGCAGCAUGUGAAGUCGGUGACAGCCCCAUACAAGUACCCAAGAAAGAUAGAGUUUGUCUUGAACCUGCCCAAGACUGUCACAGGGAAAAUUCAACGAACCAAACUUCGAGACAAGGAGUGGAAGAUGUCCGGAAAAGCCCGUGCGCAGUGAGGCGUCUAGGAGACAUUCAUUUGGAUUCCCCUCUUCUUUCUCUUUCUUUUCCCUUUGGGCCCUUGGCCUUCCUAUGAUGAUAUGAGAUUCUUUAUGAAAGAACAUGAAUGUAAGUUUUGUCUUGCCCUGGUUAUUAGCACAAAACAUUACUAUGUUAGAUAUUGAAAGAAGAAAGGGAAGGAAUGAGAGAGAGUGAAAAGGAGAGGGUAACAGAAAAAGAGGAAAGAAAAGUAAGUCAGGGAAAUAUUAAAAACUGCAAGAGAAAGCAAUUGAAAAAGAAAUAAAGUAGGGAGGGAAGGCGAGAGGAAGCAAGGGAAGGAGGAAGAAAGGAAAGAGGAGAUGAAAGGUGGAGAAAAGAUAGAAGAAAGAUAAUUGAAGGGAGAAUCAGAAAAAUAAAGAGAAGAAAGGAAAGAAAUAAAGAGAGAAAGAGAAAGAAGAAAGAGCAAAAGAACACAAGAAAGAAAUAGAGGGAGAAAGAGAGGGAGAAAGGGAGAGAAAAAAAUUUUAAAAAUAAAAAUAGUAAAAGAAACUGAU
rnacentral:sRNA from 1 species